GAAAAUUUAAUAAAAUAAAACAUUACAUAUAUAUUUAUAUUACUAAUACUGACAUCAAUAUGUUUAAAAAAUAUAGAAUUUGCAUACUACAAAAUAUUUCAGUGUGUAUAUGUCAUUCACGCAAUGUGUGCAUAAUACGGAACGUUAUUUGUUAUUACGGCCGCCAUAAUACAAAUAACUUUUUCGGAUUUUUGUGAUUUUAUCGACAACUCUAGCUUUUUCGUGGACUCUGAUUUGCCUCCUCACCUUCUGACCUUUGCGAGUACUAUAAUUGACCUUGAUUUGCCUUUUGAUUUGGAUUUUGUACUAUGGCGUCGAAACAUAAGUGUUUUAUUCCUGGUUGUGACCAGAAUGAAAAACGUGAAACCACCAGUACCUUACAUAGGUUCCCCAAUCCUGAUAAGGAUGCUGGAAGAUUCAGAAAAUGGACCAAUGCUAUUGGUGGAAUGUUAUGUGUGGAGUAUUAUAAAAAAAGAAAUAAAUGUCGAAAACCUUA